UUUUUGGGAGAGACGGAGCGGAUCGAUCCCUUGCACUGUUGCCUUCCCCGGUUUAUAUAGUGGAGCACGGUAUGGCGCCGUCAUUAAUGGCGCGGGCAAGUGAGGAACUGUCAACUCACUGUGGACUGUCAGGGUCGCCGUGAAAAUGUCAUGUCGCCGUGUGGCUGUCCAAUCACCAGGGUUGACAAUGCCCUCGGCGGGACAAUGCCCCUAGGUAACCGCGCCGCAUGUCCGUGUCAGAGCUGACAAGGUCUGGCGGCUGUACGGCGGUUGGAGGAGCCGACCGACCCAAAGUCGGUAGCCAGCUGAGUGGUGUCGGCCCUCCCGUUGGUCGGCGAGCCUUCCGUGAGUCGGCCAUCGGACC
rnacentral:lncRNA from 1 species